rnacentral:tRNA from 1 species
UGCUCUGUGGUUUAAUUAGUUAAAGCGCUGGUCUGGCGAACACGGAAACGUGGGUUCGAAUCCCACAAGAACGC